AACUGUGAAUGUGAUGUGUCUGUGAAGACAAAACCUGAUCAAUAUUCAGGAACAACAGUGAGUGUAGACGUGUUUCAUCAAAAGACAGGCCAACUGGAGAACAGUGGAGGAAAGAAGGAGCAAUCCAAGCUGUCCAGAAGGCUUAUGCAAAUCUCCAAGAAAGCAGAGAGCCUGGAAAAUCACCAAGGAAGCGGACCUCUGUUGUCUGACACCUAAUCAUCCUUUGAAGGAGAAGCUUGAGAGAAAUGGAAAGAACAUAGUAGAGAAGAGGCUGUGGUCUGGAGUAUGCUCUGGGUGGUCAGCGAGUACCCGUGGCCACAUCCCCUUCCAGAGCCAGCCCUGUGGUGACAGCCACCCGUUUCCCAAUGGGUGAGGGGAACAUCUUGAAGAAGACUUGGCAUGAUGCCUAUCGGUUUCUACAAUGUUCCUUCUCAUUGUGGGCAUCCUUCUACGUGGCUUCUUAAUUGUACAUGUGCACACGCUGUGUCAAAUGGAGUUUCCAUCACCUCUGCUUGCUGAGUAUUACAUUUUUAAUCAGUAUAUAUAAUUACUUACCACAAGCUGCCAGGCCAGAUUUUCUGAGCAUUAGUCUAAUUAACUUAAGCUUGAUAAUUAUGUUUCAGAUACCAUAGCAGUACACACGGAAUUUGCAGAUUAUGCCGCCAGCUUAUUUGAUUCCAAUAACAUGUUUUCUCAGACAGAGGGUUAGUUUUGAUUUUUUUUAAAUGGCCAUCUGAUAAUUAUUUAGGUUUCAAAGUUUUCCCUCAAACAAAAUCAUUGUGCUAUUUAAGACAAGCUUCUCAAAUAAUUAAUGCAGAGUGGACUGAAAUAGGUUUCUGUGUAUUUUUACACACACAAAUCUGUUUUAUUAAUAUAAGCUCAGGCUGAGGAAAUAUUCAAGUAUAAAGUGUUCUGAUGGUCAAAUGGCAGAACCUUCCAUGUUUCAACUGGUGUAUGCUUUGCCUUUUCCUUUUACAUUUACUUGCCCUCUAGUUGAUGAAAAAUGAGAGAAAAGGAGAGACAAAAGAAACUGAAAACCUCCAAGACUUGUAGGUGAGAAAUUAGGGCAUGCUAAAUUCCCUUAAGAAUAACAAGCAAUGUACUGAGGGCUUGUUAUGUGCCAGGCACUAAGUUAAACCCUUUUUGUAGAUUAUCUCAUCUAAUCAUCUGUAAACCCUGUGGUAGGUAUGUGUUACAGAUUGAGUUGUAUCCCUCUUUUCCCCCAAAGAUAUGUUCAGUCGCUAACCCCCAGCACCUCAGAAUGUAACCUUGGGUCUUUACAGAGGGAAUCAAGCUGAAAUAAAAUCAUUAGAGUGGGCACUCAGGCAGUAAGACUGGUGUCCUUAUACAGUGGGGAGGUCUGGACACAGCCAUGCACACAGAAAGAAUGCCAUGUGAACAUGAAGGCAGAGACUGGGAUGAUGGGUCUACAAGUCAGGAAAUGCCAGCAAACCCCCACAAGCCAGGACAGGGUCAUGAAACAAAUUCUCCCUCAGGGUCCUCAGAAGGGACCAACCCUGCUGACACGUUGAUUUCAGACCUCCAGCCUCCAGAAUUGUGAGAAAACACAGUUGCUUAACUGGGUUUAGGCCACCCACUUUGUGUUGCUUUGCUACCGCAGCCCUGGCAAAUGAAUAUAGUAUGCACGACCCUACUCCCCAUCUUACAGAUGCCAAGGCUCAGAAAAGCUACGUGGUAUGUCCAAGGCCACAGCUGUCACAUGGCAGGGAUGGAGUACACAAUGGGGCCUUUCUGACUCCCAAGCUCAUGCCCUUGACCUUACCCACACCCCAGCCAUGAGCUACUGCCUAGGAGUGGGGAGAGAAGCAAUGUGACACAUCCUGGAAGUGGCUGAUGUGCUGUGAUCAUUUUACUGCUUCUUCAUUAAGAGUAAGACUGAAGUGGCACACGUUUCCAAGUUUAUAGACAGCUGCUUUCAUUUAAAACAAAAAAUGCACGCUGGAAAUUCCCACUUCCUAGCUUCUGAGGGCAAUGAAACAGAAUGUGCCUUUCCUCAUAGGGACAGAGAAAGCACAAGUUUGCGCUCUUCUCACUUCGAGCAUGAGAGAAGAAUAGGCCAAAAGAUCAUUGCUAAUUAUGCAAGGCAUAAGGGGAAACAACAAAUAGCCACUCUAUUCAAUCCACAGAACCAGAGAGGAAAGGACGGGUAGGUUUUCCCAAGAUGUUGGAAUGGAUGGAAAGAGCAAGAGUUAACAAGCCUGCUCCAUAAAGGCCACAGACGUGGAAUAAGAAUAAUUCUUGGUAAAAGAUGCAACCUUGGUCCAGGACAGAAAGCAGAGGAAUGCGAAGGAAAAGAGAAAAAGACACUUCUCUAAGAAUAUCUACUGGAGGGGCACCUGGGCGGCUUA